UUCUCUUCUCGGCCUUUUGGCUAAGAUCAAAGUGUAGUAUCUGUUCUUAUCAGUUUAAUACCUUUAAUGUAUAUUUAAUGAUAAAUUUCCAUUAUAAAUCUAUUUACUGUAACUGAA